AAAGCAUUAGCUCCUGACUGUUAUGUAACACUGUUGAUUCAUAUUGUACUUGCAUCCUAAAAAUCCUGGAAUCAUUUCUAGACAAACUGCUGUCCAUUCAUAUCUCCCCUAUCUUGUUCUUACAGAGCUGAUUAAAAUAAACAAACAAAUAAAAUCCUAAAACUAUACAUAUCCUUAUCAAUUUCCAUCUUAUUACAUUUAAUUUUAUGGUUCUAGGACACAAGUAUCAUCAAAGAAAAUUUUAAUUAAAACUUAGUAAGCUUGGCUAAUGGAAUAAUGAAGUGUGGCUGACCUGUUGCAGUUUUUAAGAAAGAAGAGCUACUUUUUUCAAACAUCGAGAAGUAAAACUUCAAUAUAUCAUGAGAACACAUUCAGAUGUCUCCUAUCUACCCAGAACAUUCAGGACUUCCUAUACUGAUUACAUUUGCGCGUGGGCGCAUGAACCUUCAGGGAGAGGCUUUCUAGCCAUUGCUUCUCAAUAGAUGGUGGCAGAGAAAAGCAGAUGUCCCAGAAGAAACAAAACAGCUGAAACCAACAUAAGAUAUCAAAGAACUGCUUGACAAGUAUGAGACCAAGAAAGCCACCCAGAAAAAAGGAUGCAAGGAUAAUGGACAUGUGACAUCAGCAGAGUGAGAUGAGGAAACUGAGGUUGAGAAAUGUUAACUAUCCAGAAGUACAUGUCAAGAUUAGAACUCCAAUACUCUUUGAAUUGCAUCAAUGAACUGCCUCUUAAUAAGGGAAGCAUGAAAUGGUUGACCCGGUCAUGGACUUCUGCCUUUUGAACUCCAUUUUCCAAAGCAAGGAUCUCAGAAGUUUGGCAGCCCUUCCUUUGGGAAUAGAGAACAAGGGUUCAUUUCUCCAUCACUGCAGAAGUGGAAAAUCCUUCCAGUCACU
rnacentral:lncRNA from 1 species